rnacentral:misc_RNA from 1 species
GAUGAAGAACGUAGCGAAACGCGAUAAGUAAUGCGAAUUGCAGAAUUUCCGUGAGUCAUCGAAUCUUUGAACGCACAUUGCGCCCACUGGUAUUCCGGUGGGCAUGCCUGUUCGAGCGUCAUUAUCCUCCCUCAAACCCCGGGUUUGGUGUUGGACCCAAGUUGUGUGAACAACUGGUCUCAAAGACAAUGACGGCGUCCGUGGGACCCUCGGUGCAACGAGCUUUUAGGAGCACGCAUCGAGUUGCAAGGACCUUCCGGGCCGGUCUCCUUUACCAUUUUACAAGGUUGACCUCGGAUCAGGUAGGAAUACCCGCUGAACUUAAGCAUAUCAAUAAGCGGAGGA